CAUACCAUGCUGAAUAUACCGAUUCUCGUUAGUUCACCGAAGUCAAGUAUCAUUGGGCGCGGUUAGUACUUGGGUGGGUGACUACCUGAGAACACCGCGUGCCGUU
rnacentral:rRNA from 1 species